AACGCGAAGAACCUUACCUGGGCUCGAAGCACAGUGGACCGGGGUAGAAAUAUCCCUUUUCGCAAGAACUGCUGUGGAGGUGCUGCAUGGCUGUCGUCAGCUCGUGUCGUGAGAUGUUGGGUUAAGUCCCGCAACGAGCGCAACCCUUAUCGUUAGUUGCCAUCAGGUCAAGCUGGGCACUCUAGCGAAACCGCCCCGGAUAACGGGGAGGAAGGUGGGGAUGACGUCAAGUCCUCAUGGCCUUUAUGUCCAGGGCUACACACGUGCUACAAUGGUCGGUACAAACCGUCGCAAACCUGCGAAGGGGAGCUAAUCGGAAAAAGCCGGCCUCAGUUCGGAUUGGAGUCUGCAACUCGACUCCAUGAAGCUGGAAUCGCUAGUAAUCGCGGAUCAGCACGCCGCGGUGAAUACGUUCCCGGGCCUUGUA
rnacentral:rRNA from 1 species